UCAAUCAAUGUUGAUGCCAGACUUUUGC
rnacentral:sRNA from 1 species